UUGAAAACGGUUACGUGUAUCGACACAAAUUCCAUAACUUUUGCCAGCAUGGUCUGAAGAUGAUCCAAAUCAAAUUUGGUGAAAAUCUGAGCAACGGUCUAGGAGGAGUUCGAAAAAGUAGGUUUUCAACAUGAAUCAAAAUGGCGGACAGGAAAUUUUGCCAAAAUUGACAAAUGGGGUAUCGGUGUUCUCGACAUGACCCAAGGAAUCUAUCAACAUCAGCUUUGUUACAAUAGGCUAAUGUAUGCAAAAGUUAUUAGCAUUUUUCGAAAAAAUCGUUAUAACUAUUGACCACAAGGUGGCGCUGCCCCCAAUUUUUUUGUGUACAUUCAGGGCAUGGAGCCGGACAUUUUUGUAAUUAUUUGCGAAACGAUACGGAACUUUAUUCUUAAGAUACAGCAAUUUACAACUAAAUUCAAAAUGGCCGACGCCCAAAAUGGCCGAAUUGGGAAAAUUCGGUAUCAUUCGACUCGGAAUGAUGCACUGAAUCUAAAGACACCACUUUUGUGAAUUUUGGCAAAACCGUUCAGAAGUUAUGAGCAAAAACAUGCAUUUUUCAUAUCUCCUGACCACUAGGGGGCACAGCGCCGAAACACUGCAGGUAGUCCCAGGGAAUGGUUGUUAUAAGACCCACCAAGAUUGGUCUCAUUAGGCCAAACCGUUGCGGAGAUAUAGCCUCACGUUCACGUUUGCGUGCUUUUCGAAGAAUUCGUUCAUGAGCUAUUCGGAAACGGUUUGAGAAAUCAACUUGAAUUCCAUAACUUUUUGCCAGCAUGGUCUGAAGAUUAUCUGAUUCAAUUUUCGUGACAAUCGGUGCAACGGCCUAGGACGAGUUCGAAAAAGUAGGUUUUACGAACAAUUGACGAUACCGAAAAAACUAAGCCUUGCGAUUUUUGAAUUUCGGUGUCCAUUCGACUCGGCAUGAGCCAAGGAAUCACAGGAAAAAAGAAUUUUCAAUUUGUGGCUUACGGUUCAAGAGUUAUUAGCAUCAAGUUUUUGAAAGUUUAGACAAUUGGUGGCGCUAGAGAGUUUGAGUUAGAGACUUCAAAUUUGCUACGGUUAAUGUUCAGACAGUCCUCUAUUAGUGUGCCAAAUUAUACAACUUUCCCGCAAUCGGUUCUAUGGGCUACCAUAGACUUGGGGUGGAAGAAGAGGAAGAAUAAUAAUAAUAAAUAUAGCUGCAAGCAGCAAUCACGGGGCCAAGCAUUCCAGCGGCAACAUCAGGAGCUAUGCAGACCAAAUGCAACAAUGAAUAAUGAAAUUAAUAAUUGCAUGAUUGUAAUUGAAAUGGCUGCAAAUCGUUAAUAAAAGUUCCACAGCGAGGAACUAAGCAUGGCAUGGAGCAUCAGACCAAAUGCAACGAGUAAGAAAAGCAAUUAUUGGAAGAGUGUAAUUGAAACAGCCAGUAAAACUCCAGUAAAAUGAUGCAUUAUCAUUUUUGGAAAAUAGGUGGCGCUGUAAUCAAAUCGCUUUGUUGUGUUCUGUGGGAGGUGACAAUGUUGUGGGCAAUUUCUUUCAAAAUACUUACAGACCUUUAGGGCAAUGAGUCGAACAUGCCCACCGAGUUUCGUUCCGAUCGACUUCUAUUAACCUUGUCAAAUAGGUUCUUAAAGUUGUUUGGCCAAUGGCGGCCAUGUUUUUUAAGAUAAGUGAAAUUUCUCAUAGAGCACUUGUGCCACAUUGGGCCAUACCAAUUUUCAAGUUUAUUGGAUCAGCGGUUGCUUAGUUAUAGCCAUUUUAGGUUUUUUUUCAUCCUGUAGCGCCACCAAGUGGCAGAUAUGGAAAAAAAAAUAAUUUUACUAAAGUUUUUGUUCAUGCAUAUGAGUUCUGAGUUUGGUGAAGAUAUCUCAUUUUGUUCCCGAGUUAUAGCCUUUUUCAUAAAAUUGGUCCACGAAUUUGAAUGUUUUGGGUCACCUGGUUUUUUGUUCAGUCUUGAUCAAACCACUGCAGUAAUAUUCUCAGGACUCUCUAGAUCAAUAACUUUGAAAAAAUAUGUUGUAUUUUGUCCUUUGGUUAGAUAACAUUUAAACAGGCCUAAAAAACAAAAGAUUUCUGUUGUGAAUGGCAUUAAACUGCAAAAAAAGGGGUAAUAUAAUCACACAUGCAUUAGAUCUGUAUUUUUUCUAAACAAUCAUGCAAAAUUUAACAGAGAUUAGGUAAAAAAGAACACUGUAAUAUUUAUAAAGCUUCAAAACCCAGUGUUGAAUAAAAAAUUGCAAUUAUAACCACUAGAUGUCACCGGAAGACCACUAAUGAGCUCACUAAAGACUAAAACAUUACAGUUUAUGGGCUUGUUGAGGGAUUCAUCUAGAAAAAAAUGUAUAUUACUAUUAUUUAAUAUUACUGUUCAAGCAUUUCAGAUCACAUUGAGUCAAAGUUUACCAAUUUAUUCAUACAGAUAUAUCUAAUGUUUAUAAUUAUGCCAGAUUAUGAUUGCAAUGAAACCUGAAAAAUGACAUAGAAGCCCAUAAAAACAGAAGACUUGCAAUAGGUUUUAUCACCCAUCAUUUAUUUUAAUUAUCUAUAUAUAUAACAAAAUGUGUGCAUCUGUGUGUGGGUUUAAGCAUGCUUAUUGAGUAUUAAUAUACUAGUUUAAACAUUUCAUGUUGGUGUGUGUGUCUGUAAUUCUGUUCUAUUCUUUUACUGUCAGCCAUAUCUAGGUUAUUUAAAAUCAGUGCAGUACUAUUAUCUAGACUGUGAAAUUAUACAUAAAUUGCGUAUGCUUCUUUGGAAUGAAAUUAAGACAACAUAUAACAGUUAUAAAGGUUAAAGAGACAGUGUUGUAUGAUAAAUUGCAUUUACGACCACUAGAUGUCACUGGAAGACCACUAAUGGGCUUUGCAGAGAUAUAGCCUCAGACUCAUUUUGUGAAGAUGCCUGACAUCUGAAGCAGCGCUGUACAAAAACGGUUUCGUCUAUUGACACGAAAUCCAUAACUUUUUGUCAGCACGGUCUGAAGAUGAUCUGAUUCAAUUUUGGUGAAAAUCAGACAAACGGUUGAGGAUGAGUUUAAAAAAAAAGGUUUUCAACAUGAAUCAAAAUGGCGGACAGGAAGUUUUGCUUAAUAUGACAUAAUUGGUAUGUAUGUUGUCGGCAUGUCCCAAGGAACAUUUUGAGACAUGUUUCAUGAUAAUAGGCUAAUGCAAUCAAAAGUUAUUAGCAUUAUUGGAAAUGUAAUAAUUAGCGGUUAUUGAUUGGUUUAUUACUCUUGACCAAUAGGUGGCGCUGUGACCAAAAUGAUGUGGCGUGGUCAAUGUGAUGUGACAAUGUCACAUAUUAAGUUUUGUGUAAAUAUCUCCAACCUUUGCAGAGAUACAGCCUCAGAUGCAGUUUGGCAUCUUUCCAGCAAAUUCGUUGGUACGCUAAUUGAAAACGGUUACGUGUAUCGACACAAAUUCCAUAACUUUUU